rnacentral:rRNA from 1 species
GAGUUUGAUCCUGGCUCAGGAUGAACGCUAGCGGCAGGCCUAACACAUGCAAGUCGAGGGGUAACAUAGUUUGCUUGCAAACUGAUGACGACCGGCGCACGGGUGCGGAACGCGUAUGGAACCUGCCCCUGUCAGGGGAAUAGCCCAGGGAAACUUGGAUUAAUGCCCCAUGGUAUCGUUUUAUCGCAUGAUAAGGUGAUUAAAGAUUUAUCGGACAGGGAUGGCCAUGCGUACCAUUAGUUAGAUGGUGGGGUAACGGCCCACCAUGGCAGCGAUGGUUAGGGGCCCUGAGAGGGGGAUCCCCCACACUGGUACUGAGACACGGACCAGACUCCUACGGGAGGCAGCAGUGAGGAAUAUUGGACAAUGGGCGGGAGCCUGAUCCAGCCAUGCCGCGUGCAGGAUGACGGCCCUAUGGGUUGUAAACUGCUUUUAUACGGGAAGAAACGCACCUACGUGUAGGUGUCUGACGGUACCGUAAGAAUAAGGACCGGCUAACUCCGUGCCAGCAGCCGCGGUAAUACGGAGGGUCCGAGCGUUAUCCGGAAUCAUUGGGUUUAAAGGGUCCGUAGGCGGGCAUGUAAGUCAGGGGUGAAAGUUUGUGGCUCAACCAUAAAAUUGCCUUUGAUACUGCAUGUCUUGAGUCAUGGUGGGGUUGCCGGAACAUGUGGUGUAGCGGUGAAAUGCAUAGAUAUCACAUAGAACACCGAUCGCGAAGGCAGGUGACCAACCAUGUACUGACGCUGAUGGACGAAAGCGGGGGUAGCGAACGGGAUUAGAUACCCCGGUAGUCCACGCCGUAAACGAUGGAUACUAGCUGUGGGGACUUCGGUCUCCGUGGCCAAGCGAAAGUGAUAAGUAUCCCACCUGGGGAGUACGUUCGCAAGAAUGAAACUCAAAGGAAUUGACGGGGGCCCGCACAAGCGGUGGAGCAUGUGGUUUAAUUCGAUGAUACGCGAGGAACCUUACCAGGGCUUAAAUGCAGGCUGCAUGGGGUAGAGAUACCCCUUUCUUCGGACUGCCUGCAAGGUGCUGCAUGGUUGUCGUCAGCUCGUGCCGUGAGGUGUCAG